GAUGAACGCUGGCGGCGUGCCUAAUACAUGCCAGUCGAGCGAACAGACGAGGAGCUUGCUCCUCUGACGUUAGCGGCGGACGGGUGAGUAACACGUGGAUAACCUACCUAUAAGACUGGGAUAACUUCGGGAAACCGGAGCUAAUACCGGAUAAUAUAUUGAACCGCAUGGUUCAAUAGUGAAAGACGGUUUUGCUGUCACUUAUAGAUGGAUCCGCGCCGCAUUAGCUAGUUGGUAAGGUAACGGCUUACCAAGGCAACGAUGCGUAGCCGACCUGAGAGGGUGAUCGGCCACACUGGAACUGAGACACGGUCCAGACUCCUACGGGAGGCAGCAGUAGGGAAUCUUCCGCAAUGGGCGAAAGCCUGACGGAGCAACGCCGCGUGAGUGGUGAAGGUCUUCGGAUCGUAAAACUCUGUUAUUAGGGAAGAACAAAUGUGUAAGUAACUAUGCACGUCUUGACGGUACCUAAUCAGAAAGCCACGGCUAACUACGU
rnacentral:rRNA from 1 species